UUUACUUUAGUGUAAAGAGCACAUAAAUUUUUGGGGUUUAAAGUAUAAAAGUAGAC
rnacentral:tRNA from 1 species